rnacentral:rRNA from 1 species
AUGAGACCUAUCGUUAGCAGGGUUCCAAACCCACCUAAAUAUGUGGGUGUUCUGAUCCUACCGGGCGCGGAAUGGGAUCACAACGCUAUUGCGGAGAUCUUUUUACCAAUAGAUGUUGAAGCCAUCCUAUCCAUUCCACUUUGUACAAGGCAUGUCGACCAUUUCUGGUCAUGGGUGGACGAGAAGAACGGGACCUUUUCUGUUCGUUCGGCCAACCGCAUGCUUGUGGACACCAAGAUGAGGAGGGAAGCCUGGCUUGAGGGCCGGCCAAACUCGUCAAGCACAGAAAGUGAGCAGAGGGCAUGGUCAAAGCUAUGGAACGUGGAUGUUCCUUCUAAAGCGAAGAUAUUCUUGUGGAGAUUUGCCCAACAAUCAAUCCCCACUGCUGACUUACUUCACGACCGAAGUAUGUCAACCACCACGAACUACGGGCUAUGUCGAGCAGAUGAUUCGUGGCAACACUCCCCGCUUCACUGCAGCAUUGCUUGA